rnacentral:rRNA from 1 species
AGUCGUACGGGCCCGACCGCAAGGCCGGGCCAGUGGCGCAAGGGUGAGUAAGGCGACGGUAACCAACCCCGGGGCUGGCCAUAGCCGCGGGAAACCGCGGGUAAUUGCCAGCGACGUCGUCGGCCGGCAUCGGCCGACGACCAAAGGUGUGAUCCCGCCCCGGGACGGGCCGUCGUGGUAUUAGCUGGUUGGUGGGGUGACGGCCCACCAAGGCCAUGAUGCCUACCGGGCGUGCGAGCGUGGCCCGGCACACUGGGACUGAGACACUGCCCAGACUCCUACGGGAGGCUGCAGUCGAGAAUCUUCGGCAAUGGGCGCAAGCCUGACCGAGCGACGCCGCGUGGAGGACGAAGGCCUUCGGGUUGUAAACUCCUGUCGAGGGGGACCAAGGGGGUGUGCAGAGCACCCCUUGAGAGAUCCCUGGAGGAAGCACGGGCUAAGUUCGUGCCAGCAGCCGCGGUAAGACGAACCGUGCGAACGUUAUUCGGAAUCAUUGGGCUUAAAGGGCGCGUAGGCGGGUCGGCGCGUCCGUGCUGAAAGCCCCCGGCUCAACCGGGGAACGGGCAGGCGCACUGCCGACCUGGAGGCGAGGAAGGGGACCUGGAAGCUCCAGUGGAGCGGUCAAAUGCGUUGAGAUCAGACGGAACGCCGAGGGCGAAAGCAAGGUCCUGGACUCGUACUGACGCU